GUGUUGAAAUGUAGCUGUUUAAGGUCAUAUGAAUACAAUGUAGUGACACAGUCUGAGUUGAUUGUAGGACAUUUUGUUAACCCCGUGCUGGAUUGGAACCUACCUGGAGGCGCCCCUCUGCGGCUGGUUGGUCCUCUACAGAUAUCCGUGGCUGGCCGAUUGGAGAAGAACGAGGUUGUCUAUCGUAUCGUCGGACAUUCCUAGAAGAAAACCUCACUUCAAACACUUACACAUGGUUAUCAUGGAAAUAGAGACUUUCAUGUUUGUCUUCAUCUCUGUGGAAACGUCAUUAAAACUUGUUGACUGAACUCCUGGAUAGCUGCCCCCUGGACCCUAAACUUAAACCCACAAGGCGAGUCCAGAAUGUGAUGGGUCCCUCAAGAUGGGGUCAUGGAGCUUCAGAACAGCUGCUGAUUGCCACUGACGAGAGACACCUGGACCUAAUCAGAGUGGAGACCUGCACACCACGCCUCCUCCAGACCCUGCAGCACUGAACUAACACACACAUCAUGAAUACUAAACCAUAACAAGAGUCCACACCAUGACCAAUACUUCACUUUGAGUCCACACAGAGCUGAGUUUAACACAUACUGGACUCUGAAUAUUUUCAAAUGAGCCCCCUCAUUGACACAUUUAGGUGGGUGGAUGACAUAAGUGUACAACCUGGGCCUUAGGUUGGCUGCUGCAAAGGAAUGGUUGAUGAACCUUCCAACAGUCUCUCGUUCAGGGUGGCACUCACAAAGAGCUGAAUGUGCAUCGAUGCACAUGGGCUGUCCUUUUCUGUUCCUGUAGAAGAACAUGUCUCCAGUCUCCUCCUCACUGGUGUUCAUGUCAAUGUCCUCGCCCUCUUUAACUGAGAUGACCCGCCCAUGUA